rnacentral:rRNA from 1 species
AUUGAACGCUGGCGGCAGGCUUAACACAUGCAAGUCGAGCGGUAACAGAGAGUAGUUUACUAUUCUGCUGACGAGCGGCGGACGGGUGAGUAAUGCCUAGGAAUCUGCCUAGUAGUGGGGGAUAACUUGCCGAAAGGUAAGCUAAUACCGCAUACGACCUACGGGAGAAAGGGGGCAACUUGUUGCUCUCGCUAUUAGGUGAGCCUAAGUCGGAUUAGCUAGAUGGUGGGGUAAAGGCCUACCAUGGCGACGAUCUGUAGCUGGUCUGAGAGGAUGAUCAGCCACACCGGGACUGAGACACGGCCCGG